AUUGAACGCUGGCGGCAGGCCUAACACAUGCAAGUCGAGCGGAAGAAGGGAGCUUGCUCCUGGAUUCAGCGGCGGACGGGUGAGUAAUGCCUAGGAAUCUGCCUGGUAGCGGGGGAUAACGUCCGGACACGGGCGCUAAUACCGCAUACGUCCUGAGGGAGAAAGUGGGGGAUCUUCGGACCUCACGCUAUCAGAUGAGCCUAGGUCGGAUUAGCUAGUUGGUGGGGUAAAGGCCUACCAAGGCGACGAUCCGUAACUGGUCUGAGAGGAUGAUCAGUCACACUGGAACUGAGACACGGUCCAGACUCCUACGGGAGGCAGCAGUGGGGAAUAUUGGACAAUGGGCGAAAGCCUGAUCCAGCCAUGCCGCGUGUGUGAAGAAGGUCUUCGGAUUGUAAAGCACUUUAAGUUGGGAGGAAGGGCAGUAAGUUAAUACCUUGCUGUUUUGACGUUACCAACAGAAUAAGCACCGGCUAACUUCGUG
rnacentral:rRNA from 1 species